GAUGAACGCUGGCGGCGUGCCUAAUACAUGCAAGUCGAGCGAACAGAUGAGGAGCUUGCUCCUCUGACGUUAGCGGCGGACGGGUGAGUAACACGUGGAUAACCUACCUAUAAGACUGGGAUAACUUCGGGAAACCGGAGCUAAUACCGGAUAAUAUAUUGAACCGCAUGGUUCAAUAGUGAAAGACGGUUUUGCUGUCACUUAUAGAUGGAUCCGCGCCGCAUUAGCUAGUUGGUAAGGUAACGGCUUACCAAGGCAACGAUGCGUAGCCGACCUGAGAGGGUGAUCGGCCACACUGGAGCUGAGACACGGUCCAGACUCCUACGGGAGGCAGCAGUAGGGAAUCUUCCGCAAUGGGCGAAAGCCUGACGGAGCAACGCCGCGUGAGUGAUGAAGGUCUUCGGAUCGUAAAACUCUGUUAUUAGGGAAGAACAAAUGUGUAAGUAACUAUGCACGUCUUGACGGUACCUAAUCAGAAAACCACGGCUAACUACGU
rnacentral:rRNA from 1 species